GAACUCAUGGUGUAGCGGUU
rnacentral:misc_RNA from 1 species